rnacentral:rRNA from 1 species
UGGGGAAUAUUGCACAAUGGGGGAAACCCUGAUGCAGCGACGCCGCGUGAACGAAGAAGUAUUUCGGUAUGUAAAGUUCUAUCAGCAGGGAAGAUAAUGACGGUACCUGACUAAGAAGCACCGGCUAACUACGUGCCAGCAGCCGCGGUAAUACGUAGGUGGCAAGCGUUGUCCGGAAUUACUGGGUGUAAAGGGAGAGUGGGCGGGAUUGCAAGUCCGUUGUUAAAUCUAUCGGCUUAACCGGUAGCUGCGGCGGAAACUGUAGUUCUUGAGUGAAGUAGAGGCAGGCGGAAUUCCUAGUGUAGCGGUGAAAUGCGUAGAUAUUAGGAGGAACACCAGUGGCGAAGGCGGCCUGCUGGGCUUUAACUGACGCUGAGGCUCGAAAGUGUGGGGAGCAAACAGGAUUAGAUACCCUGGUAGU